GCUAACUACGUGCCAGCAGCCGCGGUAAUACGUAGGUGGCAAGCGUUGUCCGGAUUUAUUGGGCGUAAAGCGAGCGCAGGCGGUUUUUUAAGUCUGAUGUGAAAGCCUUCGGCUCAACCGAAGAAGUGCAUCGGAAACUGGGAAACUUGAGUGCAGAAGAGGACAGUGGAACUCCAUGUGUAGCGGUGAAAUGCGUAGAUAUAUGGAAGAACACCAGUGGCGAAGGCGGCUGUCUGGUCUGUAACUGACGCUGAGGCUCGAAAGUAUGGGUAGCAAACAGGAUUAGAUACCCUGGUAGUCCAUACCGUAAACGAUGAAUGCUAAGUGUUGGAGGGUUUCCGCCCUUCAGUGCUGCAGCUAACGCAUUAAGCAUUCCGCCUGGGGAGUACGGCCGCAAGGCUGAAACUCAAAGGAAUUGACGGGGGCCCGCACAAGCGGUGGAGCAUGUGGUUUAAUUCGAAGCUACGCGAAGAACCUUACCAGGUCUUGACAUACUAUGCAAAUCUAAGAGAUUAGACGUUCCCUUCGGGGACAUGGAUACAGGUGGUGCAUGGUUGUCGUCAGCUCGUGUCGUGAGAUGUUGGGUUAAGUCCCGCAACGAGCGCAACCCUUAUUAUCAGUUGCCAGCAUUAAGUUGGGCACUCUGGUGAGACUGCCGGUGACAAACCGGAGGAAGGUGGGGAUGACGUCAAAUCAUCAUGCCCCUUAUGACCUGGGCUACACACGUGCUACAAUGGAUGGUACAACGAGUUGCGAACUCGCGAGAGUAAGCUAAUCUCUUAAAGCCAUUCUCAGUUCGGAUUGUAGGCUGCAACUCGCCUACAUGAAGUCGGAAUCGCUAGUAAUCGCGGAUCAGCAUGCCGCGGUGAAUACGUUCCCGGGCCUUGUACACACCGCCCGUCACACCAUGAGAGUUUGUAACACCCAAAGUCGGUGGGGUAACCUUUUAGUAUCGAAGCCGCCUGAAGCUGAGCAAACUUUAGGA
rnacentral:rRNA from 1 species